rnacentral:misc_RNA from 1 species
GAUGAAGAACGUAGCGAAAUGCGAUACGUAAUGUGAAUUGCAGAAUUCAGUGAAUCAUCGAAUCUUUGAACGCACAUUGCGCCCGCUAGUAUUCUGGCGGGCAUGCCUGUCCGAGCGUCAUUUCAACCCAUCAAGCUUAGCGCUUGUGUUGGAGCCCUGCGGCCGCCGCAGCCUCCUAAAAUCAGUGGCGGGCUCGCUAUCACGCUGAGUGCAGUAGUAUUCUUCUCACUCCUGUGGUGUAGCGGGUAACCAGCCGUAAACCCCCCCAUCUAUAAAGGUUGACCUCGGAUCAGGUAGGAAUACCCGCUGAACUUAAGCAUAUCAAUAAGCGGAGGA